CCUACGGGUGGCAGCAGUCGAGAAUCAUUCACAAUGGGGGAAACCCUGAUGGUGCGACGCCGCGUGGGGGAAUGAAGGUCUUCGGAUUGUAAACCCCUGUCAUGUGGGAGCAAAUUAAAAAGAUAGUACCACAAGAGGAAGAGACGGCUAACUCUGUGCCAGCAGCCGCGGUAAUACAGCGGUCUCAAGCGUUGUUCGGAAUCACUGGGCGUAAAGCGUGCGUAGGCUGUUUCGUAAGUCGUGUGUGAAAAGCGGGGGCUCAACCCGCGGACGGCACAUGAUACUGGGAGACUAGAGUAAUGGAGGGGGAAGCGGAAUGCUCGGUGUAGCAGUGAAAUGCGUAGAUAUCGAGAGGAACACUCGUGGCGAAGGCGGGUUCCUGGACAUUAACUGACGCUGAGGCACGAAGGCCAGGGGAGCGAAAGGGAUUAGAUACCCCGGUAGUC
rnacentral:rRNA from 1 species